rnacentral:lncRNA from 1 species
CAGAUUUGCUCUAAAUGCUUUGGUUUUUGAGUUAUAAGCCAAAAACUGCAUUUUACCUCUAUGUUCUAUUUUUAGCCAUGGCGGCCAUCUUGGUUGGUAAGCGGGGUCACCGGACACAUUUUUUAAACUAGAUACCCCAAUGAUGAUUUUGCCCAAGUUUGGUUAAAUUUGGCCCAGUAGUUUCAGAGGAGAAGAUUUUUGUAAAAGUUAAUGACGGACGACGGAACACCAAGUGAUGAGAAAAGCACACUUGGCCCUUUGGGCCAGGUGAG